GAGUCAGUAGCUCAGUUGGUAGAGCAGUGGCCUUUUAAGCCAUUGGUCCGGGGUUCGAGUCCCCGCUGACUCA
rnacentral:tRNA from 1 species